UGGCUCAGUUGGUAGAGCAUGAGACUCUUGAUCUCAGGAUCAUGAGUUCGAGCCCCACU
rnacentral:tRNA from 1 species